GACGAACGCUGGCGGCGUGCCUAAUACAUGCAAGUUGAGCGCUGAAGGUUGGUACUUGUACCAACUGGAUGAGCAGCGAACGGGUGAGUAACGCGUGGGGAAUCUGCCUUUGAGCGGGGGACAACAUUUGGAAACGAAUGCUAAUACCGCAUAAAAACUUUAAACACAAGUUUUAAGUUUGAAAGAUGCAAUUGCAUCACUCAAAGAUGAUCCCGCGUUGUAUUAGCUAGUUGGUGAGGUAAAGGCUCACCAAGGCGAUGAUACAUAGCCGACCUGGGAGGGUGAUUGGCCACAGUGGGACUGAGACACGGCCCAAAAUCCUACGGGAGGCAGCAGUAGGGAAUCUUAGGCAAUGGACGAAAGUCUGACCGAGCAACGCCGAGUGAGUGAAGAAGGUUUUCGGAUCGUAAAACUCUGUUGGUAGAGAAGAACGUUGGUGAGAGUGGAAAGCUCAUCAAGUGACGGUAACUACCCAGAAAGGGACGGCUAACUACGUG
rnacentral:rRNA from 1 species